CUCAGUUUGGGUCAGCUUUACUUGGAGGACCUGAACAGGUAUCUUCUUCAACUCAGCACUGUCACUUUCUGCCAGAAGAAACCAACAAGGUGCAGUGCAGGACAACCCCUUUGUUGCUUAUGGAAAGACGAGGACAUAAUUUAGUUUAUUUUGAAUAUUUUGUUAAACUACAGAUGUCACUCUGAACUUUUCUCCUGGAUCAAAUAACAACCUGAAACCAAAUUAAAA
rnacentral:lncRNA from 1 species